UAUCUCUAUAAGAAACAUAGUUGGUUUCUUAGUUAGACCUGAAAGUAUUUUCUAUUCCUGGAGUAGACCAUCAUAUUACCCACUAUAUGCACUGAGGAACUUGGCAGACCCUAACGUCAGCUAGAGAGUCAAAGCCUUUUAGCCCAUCUGGUAGCAAAGCCCCAUGCCGUACAAACUCGUGUCAUGUAGCUGGGACAGGCCGUGUUCCUGGGUGGAGCAUCCUCCUGCACUCCCUCCUACUCUGGCCCCUGCUGACUUCAGGGCGGUGUCCCAUGCCCAGCCUAUACCCCUAUAGUUCAGUAUCGAUGGGCAAGCAAGGUUGUCACAACAACGUCAUGUUAAUACAUUGUGGAGGUAUAGUUGAACAAAAAUACAAAGAUCAAGGUGAGAACAGGUGGAGCACUUGGUGCACAUCUUCAUCAACUGGAGGAUUUUCUUUCUUUUUCUGUAAUGAAGUCCAUCCCAAGAACCUCAGAAGGGUACAGAUGUCACAUCCUUUAGGAAUUAUGAAAAACCCUAAUUCUGACUGUUGAUACCCAGAGGUAGAGCAGGUCAGUGACAGGAGACCAGAGAGCAAGCCAGACUGUCUACUAUUGAUGACUAUGCCCAGGUCCAGUGGAAGUCUCUGCAGGAAGGGUAUGAGCAGCUGCCAGUGAUAGACAACAUCACAUUUUUUUCCUGCCUGACUUCUGUGUGAACGUUAAGUCUUCCGCCCUCCAGAAAAUCCCUUACAUGAAGAAAAUAAAGUGCAAGUGUAUCCCCCUCACCAAAGGGCCCAGGAAGAUACAACUCCUUAUGGGAAUAAACCUCACUGUAGGAGUGAAGGCCACAAAUGACGGAGUGAUGACUCGAGAAGAGAGAUGACUAGCUUAGUAUCCUGAGUUGAAGUCCAACAAUUUUCAAGGUUCUAAUGAAAAAUCCAAACCUUUAUUCUCAUUUCGAUGGACCUUAGAUCAUGCUCUGGACAACUUUCAUCAUCCCAUCUGGAUUACACAAUGCCCUAGAAAAGGAUGACAAUAAUUCAUGCAAUUGUUGGAACUAUAUGCCUUGCGUGUCCUUUGUUAGUCAGGGGUUAUGAACCAGCAUUCAAAAUGAGACACAUCCUGUGCAGCUCUGAACAGCCUAUUCCCAGAUUAUGAAAAACAUAUGAAUGGCCAGGUCAUCCUUGUUUUCCAAUUUAGUCAUCACAGAGAGCAAACUGUUUUAGAGGAAGCUAGUGACUUUAUUACUGAGGAAAGUCCUGAAAUAAGGAGUGUAAUAACAAAAGGAGGACAUUUAUAGUAGCAUUUGUGUUUGUCUCUCUCUAUAUUAAAAUGGUAAUUUUUUAAAUGUUGGCAAUCUGCUGAGGAAAUAAUUUAUAACUUCAACUAAACAUAUAAAAUAGUGACGUUGAAGAUAUAAGCAAUGACAUCAUAAGUUACUGUUUUUGUUUGGAUUGUAUUACCACACUACAGAGAACUGUUGAGAAUCUCAAGGUGGAUGGUGAUGAGUUAGUUAUGAAGGAGCCAACUCUGUCUAAACAGAGUAUACCACAUGGGGUUCUAAUGAAAAAGAUGUGUACUUCAUAAUUAUUGAACCUUUCAAGUAAUUGACUGCAUCUGAGAAAAUUUGAAAACAUAAUAAGGAAAAAUAAUGACAUGGGAGCAGAGUUCAAAUAACACAGUUGAUAUCUAGCAUUCAAGGGGAAGAAGUGAUUGUGAGAAUAUUCUAUGUUUUACACAAAUUUUAUCUGUUUUUUAAGACUCAGAAAGUAAGAAUACAAGUAUCUUCAAGAAAAGCAAAAUGGAAAUUGAUACAAAAGGAAAAUUUUAAUUGUAACAUGUCUCAGAAUUUAAUGAAAGUCAUGAAUAACUUCUAAAUCUUUUUUUAUAAUCAAUGCAGAAUUAGAUUUCUUCCAAGAUCAGUUGAAAUUAAGGUCAUCAAGCAUUUAAGAAUUCAUUUUUAAAUCCAGAGAGUUAUACUAUAGCCCAGGUAACAGUCUUCAAAAUAUCCAUUGCAUUUCAUUAAGUAUUUGAAGAAUCAUUCUAUUUAUCUUGCUGUUAACUAGUGCCUCGAACACAUGAAUGGAUAGACCAGGUAUGUUUUUUGUUUGUUUGUUUGGCAGAUUUUAAGCAGAUUCUACUUUUAUUCUUAUAAAUAAGCACUUAUUUAUAUAAAUAAGCUCUAACUAUAUACAAAAAAGAUUACUCAGACCAACUGUGGUGAUGUUCCUCAACAGCAAUUUUCCAUAGUGAAGCUGAAAAUAAAUAAAUAAAUAAACAAAAAAGUGAAGUAAUAGCAGUAAUAGGGAAACACUGUUUUUUUUUGUUGUUUUGGCUUGGUUUGUUGUUGUUUCUUUUCUUGUUUAUAAGUAUGCUUGGUUCGUAUUUAUUUAGCUCAUUGUUUUUAUUAUUAUUAUUGUUUUUAGGCCUGCAUGUGUAAUAGAUGAAUUUAUUAACAUGAUGUGACAGACCCUCAGUGGACAUGAAUCAUAAUUUUAUUGAGAUAGCACAUCUUGUGAUUUACCCAAUUUCAAAAUCUGGCCACUGAAUAUUUUGACUCAUCUUGAUCUCUCGUAAUAUACCAGGAACCCUAUCCCUUAGAGAUCUAAAUCAAGGUUUGGAAAAGUGACAAACAGUUUUCCUCAAUACAUCUAAUAGUUUUGAUUUUCAGAGAGACAUUAGAAGAGCAGUUUUUGAAAAUCAAGUAUUUUAUAAGGCACUGGAAAAAAAAAAAAAAAAAAAGCAGGACUCAGAGAAAAACAAAACAGAACAAAACAAACAAUAAACAACAACAACAAAACCCCAGGCACCUAAACUAACUAAUCACCUUUGAAAACCACAGUGUAUUGAAUUAGUUUGGAUCUACCAACUACAUUAAAGAUGGAGUUGUUUUGCCUUAUAUAUAAAAAUGAAACGGGAUGUUUCAAAAUAAAUGUAUCACAUUUUUAUAACAAGAUGGAAAGCUUACAUCUGAAGAAGCCACACAUUUGCAAGCAAAAAUCUGUUCAGAGCCUGCCCUUCAUUUAUAAAACCAAAACCACUGUAAGUUGGAUCUUGAGACUUGGACAGGUUGGAACAGUCAUUUGUCUUGUUGUUAAAGGUCUUCCACUGUGUUUGUGCAUCCUGUCUAUCCUCCAAAUUGUUUGAAUCACCUCUGUAGGAGGAUGUACCUUUCUUUCAGUCACAGAAAAUUCAGCUCUCUGAGGAGGAGUUCACACUACAUGCAACCCAUUCGCAGCCUGCAAUGCAGUUACAGCCAUUUUUGUGUCAGUUUAAAAUGAGAAAUAUUUGGAAAAGAGGAUAUGGAAUGGAGUCACAAAAAUAAAUAACUAUUUGGUUUUAAAUUAUAGGAUAUAAGAUAGAAAAAUAGACUUUAAAAAUACAUUCAAGAAAAUUUUAAUAUUUAGAGGAUUUUGUAGAAUCUUUCAAGGACCACAAAAGCUUUAAAUUUGUGGCUUUAUUAUUUUCUAGUUUAUCCAGCUAUGGCUAUAGGUUACAUUGUACUUCAUCCUAAAGGAUACUUACUGUUUAGCCUAAAGUGUCUAGUUAAUAUUCAUAAUCUAUUUGUCAAGUGUACAUCCAAGAUGAAAAAUUAUAUGGUUUACAAAGAGUCCAUUUUGCAAAUUUACUUCUCAUUCCAGGCAGCAGUCAUUGCAUUCUCUCAGCUCCAACUUAAUAAACCUCUGGAUUAUAGCAUCCAUGUGGGCCAAAUUCCAAUUUAUGGUUAAAAUUACAUUAAUAUAGUUUUAUUUUCUUCUGUGGCCCUUGAAAUACUAAACAUGAAGUUACCUGAAGUGUCUAGGAUUAAUUAUAGCCUUCCUUAUAAGCUUUGCCAAGACUUGAAGGAGCGGGCACUGCCAGGCUGAGAGGCUUGAUGGUCUGAUCUGUCUGACUAUAUUUAACUAUAAUGAUGACAUAAAGUGUUGCUCUGGUGGUAGAUCUGUAUUUCAUACCUUGCCACCACUUUACUUAGCCUCGUUUCUCAAGUAUUUACUGACUCUUCUCCACAAACUUCACAUACUAGAUAUUUUAUCUUAAUUUAAUAAAGAGUUACAGUGCUCCCACCAUCUACUGAAAUUCACCUUCCUUUUCUGUAAUUCUCCCCAUGACCUCUCAGAUUUUCUGUUCAUUGAGAUAGUUUGGUUGUAUUUUCUACAGCAAGCAGCUGCUUUGUAUAGUUUCUGUUCCAAAUAGUAAAUUGAAAAUUCCUUAUUGUAUGUUUCAGAUCAAAGAAGGACAAAAUCAGCGGAACUAGAAAAGUACAAAAUGUAUGAAAUGUUACUGCCAUUUACACUGCAGACAGAAAAAUAUUUUUGUAGUUUUUACAAGUAUUCUUUAAACCUCAAAAGAAGGUUCAGCCUGUCUGAGAUUGUUAUUUUUAUAUGGCUUCUCUUAUGAGAUUACAUCUCAGGAUAUUUUAUUAAAAAAUAAUAAUAAUAAUAAUAUGACCUUCUGUUUAUAAUAAAAGGUUGGGGGUUGUAAAAGACAAAAAUUCACAUUCUUAUAUUUCAGGUCUGAAUCUUUUAAAAAUAAUGUCAGAUAUCUUUCAUCAAGGAAAAACAGAGUCAAAUUACUGCUUUGUAAUGAAAAUUUGUACAAUAUUUAUGACAGCUUGAAUUUAGUUUCCUUACCAGUCUUAGAAUUAGUCAGCCUGUUCUGAAAAAAAAAAAAAAAAAGGCUGUGAAUUUUCUCUUUUAAAUAUUCUCUAUUUUUCACCGAAAAAAGUGUGUAUUUGCAUAUUGUCCAGUGAAGUGCUCAAAGAGAUUUAACUUUUUAAAUUAUAAAUAAAGGAGUUGCUGUUUGAUAACAAGGAGAGACAAGCCAUGUGCUAAGGGGGACUAUAUGAAAUACUGUAGUAGCAUUACGAUUCCUAUGACUAUAAACUCUUGAGUCAGGGCAGUUUAUAAUUAUACAGCAAACUUGUGCAAAAUAUGACAUAAUAAAAUAUGACUUUUCUAGACAUCCAGAGUGCUUUACCCUUUUUUUUUUUUUUUUCCCCGAUUACAUUUUGUUUGUGUAAGUCCAAUGGCAUCCUAGCUUUUAUCAGGAGGAAUAGUGUAGCCAGCAGGACCAGGGAGGUGAUCAUUUCCCUGUACUCUGCUCUGGUGAGGACGCACCUCAAGUGCUGUGUUCAGUUUUGGGCCCCUCAGUACAAGGCCCUGGAACCUAUCCAGAGAAGGGCUACAAAGCUGGUGAAAGGCCUGGAACACAAGUCCUGUGAGGAGCGGCUGAGGGAACUGGGGUUGUCUAGAAGAGGAGGUUCAGGGAAGACUUUAUUGCUCUCUACAACUUCGGGAAAGGAAGUUGUGGGGAGUUGGGGGUCAGCCUCUUCUCACAGGUAACUAGUGAUAGGGCUAGAGUGACUGGCCUUAAUGAUUGACAGGGGAGGUUUAGGUUAGAAAUUAAGAGACAUUUCCUCUCAGAAAGAGUAGUCAGGCAUUGGAACGGGUUGCCCAGGGAAGUGGUGGAGUCACCUUCCCUGGGAGUGUUCAAGGAAAGGUUGUACUUGGCACUUAGAGACAUUGGUAGUAGGGUCAUGGCUAGACCAGAUGAUCUGAAGGUCUUUUCCAACCUUAAUGAUUUUAUGAUUUUAUGAAAGAAAUGACUGUUGCUUUACUAAUCUCUGACCUAUAUACUCUGACCUUACCCAGACUUUCCAGGCUUAUCAUAAGUGUAAAUUUUGUAGUUGUUGUUGUUGUGUUGUGUUGUACUGUUUGUUUUCUUUUGUUUAGAUCUACUGUUUACUGAAUUUUGGUUUAGCUUUUCUAAGUCCUGGAGGUAGUUCAAGACCAGUCAAUUAAUGAUUACAUAGGACACAGAAAACUGUGCAUCAGUUUCUAAUUCUUCCAGUCUCUUUGCUUUUGGAGAACAGUAUGCCCAACAGAGACUUUAAAUUGACACAAAGAUAUUCUCUGUUACCACGUGUGAUGAGUUUGUAUCCAUAUGUAUUUUUAUUUAGAAGUUUAUGAAGGAAAUUAUUUUGCACAGAAUAUUCUUUUGCUUGUCUUCAUAAUCACUGGGCUCUUUCAAGAGAAGAAGACCCCAAAUCAUCAGAUAGGAAAUCUGAUUGUGUGACUUGUACAUAUGUUUUUACGGAAAGUUCCAAAAACAUUUAACAAGAAACAAAAUUGUUUUUGUAUAAUAUUUUAAAACAGACAACACAAUCAAAUGGAAAAAAUAAUGGAAAAUUAUGACAGCUAUAGAGGUCAGUUCUCCAUCCUGUUCUAUGUAAAAGUUCUGUUGAAAGAAUCUCAUUUAUUAUUUGGUUCUCUUGGGUUUUGAGUAAUUUCUAUAAAAGAACAUUUAUUAUAUUCCUUUUUAACUCAAUAAGAUUUUUCCAUAAAUGUGGCUGUAACUGGUGUCCCAUCUCUCUUGUAUUUAAAUGUACAUCACCUACUAACUAGUUACAUAAUAUAAUAAAUAUGAGAUAGUGUUUGCAGGACCGCCAAGUAAAAUGUAAUGGUUUCCUUCAGUCUUCAUUAAUUAAAUAUAUAUAUAUAUAUAUAUAUAUAUGCUAUCACAAACUAAUAUAAUUAAUUUGAAAUGUGUAUCAUGGGUGAGGACACUGACAUGCUUUAGAGUUAAUGAAACAGCGCCUUUUUUAUUAUUUUAUUUUUAAAAAACAAAACAAAACAAAACUGCAUGUUAUGUCUAUGAGGCAGAAGUUCUAACACACUCAGUAGAGGUAUGCUACUGCAAGCUUCUGAUGAAAUGCAGGAUGAAAUCUUCAUAACUAAUAGCAAAGUAGGAGAUACAUCAAAAAAGACCAUCUAGUUCAUCUUUCUUCUGUGAGGUGACAUCAAGCAAAAUACCUCUGAGAGACAUUGAUUACUACUACUUCCCUUGAAGAAUUGUAGACUUGGACUUCUUCAGUUUCUUUGGUGUAAAUAUUACAGAUUGUAAUUUAAUAUAAACCUAUGUUCAACUUGCUAUGACUAAGUUUACAGUAGUCAUUUAAAUUGUCUUGAUUUAGUUCUUUUUACCCUUAGAGAUUUCAUUUAUAAAUAUUUAGUGGGAAGUGC